AUUGAACGCUGGCGGCAGGCCUAACACAUGCAAGUCGAACGAGUGGCGGACGGGUGCGUAAUGUCUGGGAAACUGCCUGAUGGAGGGGGAUAACUACUGGAAACGGUCGCUAAUACCGCAUACCAUCAGAUGUGCCCAGAUGGGAUUAGCUUGUUGGGGGGGUAACGGCUCACCAAGGCGACGAUCCCUAGCUGGUCUGAGAGGAUGACCAGCCACAAUGGAACUGAGACACGGUCCAGACUCCUACGGGAGGCAGCAGGUGGGAAUAUUGCACAAUGGGCUCAAGCCUGAUGCAGCCAUGCCGCGUGGUUGAAGAAGGCCUUCGGGUUGUAAAGUACUUUCAGCGGAGAGGCGUUACCCGCAGAAGAAGCACCGGCUAACACCGUGCCAGGAGCCGCGGUAAUUC
rnacentral:rRNA from 1 species